UCCCUGGUGGCUCAGUUGGUAAAGAAUCCACCUGCAAAGCAGGAGACCCAGGUUCAAUCCCUGGGUGGGGAA
rnacentral:tRNA from 1 species